rnacentral:snRNA from 1 species
UUUACUUCUCGGCUCUUUGAGCUGUGGUCAAGUGUAGUAUCUGUUCUUAUCAGUUUAAUGUCUGAUAUGUACUUUUGAUGCAUUGGGCAAGGAAUUCAUCUGAGGAUUCAAGGAAAGAGGGCAGGAUCUGGUUCAAAUCUAGUUUUUUAAGUCAAGGUUGAAAUAAUUUUGAUUGUGCAAUCUAGUCCUAGUGAACACUGGGGCUACCGAAC